GAUGAACGCUGGCGGCGUGCCUAAUACAUGCAAGUCGAGCGAACAGACGAGGAGCUUGCUCCUCUGACGUUAGCGGCGGACGGGUGAGUAACACGUGGAUAACCUACCUAUAAGACUGGGAUAACUUCGGGAAACCGGAGCUAAUACCGGAUAACAUGUUGAACCGCAUGGUUCAACAGUGAAAGACGGUCUUGCUGUCGCUUAUAGAUGGAUCCGCGCCGCAUUAGCUAGUUGGUAAGGUAACGGCUUACCAAGGCAACGAUGCGUAGCCGACCUGAGAGGGUGAUCGGCCACACUGGAACUGAGACACGGUCCAGACUCCUACGGGAGGCAGCAGUAGGGAAUCUUCCGCAAUGGGCGAAAGCCUGACGGAGCAACGCCGCGUGAGUGAAGAAGGUCUUCGGAUCGUAAAACUCUGUUAUUAGGGAAGAACAAAUGUGUAAGUAACUAUGCACGUCUUGACGGUACCUAAUCAGAAAGCCACGGCUAACUACGUG
rnacentral:rRNA from 1 species